AUUGAACGCUGGCGGCAGGCCUAACACAUGCAAGUCGAACGAGUGGCGGACGGGUGAGUAAUGUCUGGGAACCUGCUUGAUGGAGGGGGAUAAUUACUGGAAACGGUAGCUAAUACCGCAUACCAUUAGAUGUGAGCAGAUGGGAUUAGCUAGUUGGUGGGGUAACGGCUCACAAAGGCAACGAUCCCUAGCUGGUCUGAGAGGAUGACCAGCCACACUGGAAUGGAGACACGGUCCAGACUCCUACGGGAGGCAGCAGUGGGGAAUAUUGCACAAUGGGCGCAAGCCUGAUGCAGCCAUGCCGCGUGUAUGAAGAAGGCCUUCGGAUUGUAAACUUCUUUUAGCGGGGAAGCGGUACCCGCAGAAUAAGCACCGGCUAACUCCGUGCCAGCAGCCGCGGUAAUUC
rnacentral:rRNA from 1 species